CCGGCGCACGGGUGAGUAACGCGUAUGCGACCUGCCCGUUGCAGGGGGGAUAAUCGGGAGAAAUCCCGUCUAGUACCGCGUAACGCCGCGGGGCUGCAUGGCCCUGCGGCCAAAGGGAGCGAUUCCGGCAACGGAUGGGCAUGCGUGACAUUAGCUAGUUGGCGGGGCAACGGCCCACCAAGGCGACGAUGUCUAGGGGUUCUGAGAGGAAGGUCCCCCACACUGGUACUGAGACACGGACCAGACUCCUACGGAAGGCAGCAG
rnacentral:rRNA from 1 species